GUCUACGGCCAUGCUACCCUGAACGAGCCCAAUCCUGUCUGAUCUCGGAAGCUAAGCAGGGGCGAGCCUGGUUAGUACUUGGAUGGGAGACCACCUAGGAAGACCAGGUGCUAUAGGCG
rnacentral:rRNA from 1 species